rnacentral:rRNA from 1 species
UACGAAGGGGGCUAGCGUUGUUCGGAAUUACUGGGCGUAAAGCGCGCGCAGGCGGUUCUUCAAGUCAGAGGUGAAAGCCCAGAGCUCAACUCUGGAAUGGCCUUUGAGACUAGAGAACUAGGGUACGGGAGAGGUGAGUGGAAUUCCGAGUGUAGAGGUGAAAUUCGUAGAUAUUCGGAAGAACACCAGUGGCGAAGGCGGCUCACUGGCCCGUUACCGACGCUCAGGCGCGACAGCGUGGGAGCAA